UAUCUCUGUAGAGUCUGCAUAUCAAUAAGCGGAGGAAAAGAAACUAACAAGGAUUCCCCUAGUAACGGCGAGUGAAGCGGGAAGAGCUCAAAUUUGAAAUCUUCAAGGUUUGACCUUGACGAAUUGUAGUUUAAAGAAGUGUUUUCGGUUAGAGGAGUAGUAAAAGUUCUUUGGAAUAGGACAUCAUAGAGGGUGAGAAUCCCGUAUUUGACUAUUCUUUCUAGCUUUGUGAUACACUUUCAAAGAGUCGGAUUGUUUGGGAAUGCAGUCCAAAAUGGGUGGUAAAUUUCAUCCUAAAGCUAAAUAUUGGCGAGAGACCGAUAGCGAACAAGUACCGUGAGGGAAAGAUGAAAAGAACUUUGAAAAGAGAGUUAAACAGUACGUGAAAUUGUCAAAAGGGAAGCGUUUGACACCAGUGUUGUUUUUCCGAAAAUCAAUUAAAAAUUGAUUCAUGCCAGGUUGUAUUGACCUUAUCAGCUUGCAAUUUGGUUUUGGGUCUCUUUUUGAUGCACUUUUCGGUUAACAAGUCAACAUCAAUUUCCUUUGCUGUAAAAAGGUAAGAGGAAGGUGGCUUCAAUUUCGGUUGAAGUGUUUAUAGCCUUUUAUCUCUGCAGUCGGGGAGAUUGAGGUCUGCAGCGUAGAUCCUUCGGGGCUAGAUACAUUUAUGCUAAGUUAUAGCUUUUCAUAGACAACUUGUUGACUAUGUUUAGUCAUGUAGCUUACUCGUAAGUGCUAUUUUACCUACGCUUAGGAUGUUGAGCGCAUGUCUCUCUCU
rnacentral:rRNA from 1 species